CAGGUGAUCAGGUAGAGAAUACCAAGGCGCUUGAGAGAACUCGGGUAAAGGAACUAGGCAAAAUGGUGCCGUAACUUCGGGAGAAGGCACGCCGGUGGUAUGUGACGCCCUUCGCGGGUUGAGCAGAAGCCGGUCGAAGAUACCAGGCCCCUGCGACUGUUUAUUAAAAACACAGCACUGUGCAAACACGAAAGUGGACGUAUACGGUGUGACGCCUGCCCGGUGCCGGAAGGUUAAUUGAUGGGGUU
rnacentral:rRNA from 1 species